GGACGAACGCUGGCGGCGUGCUUAACACAUGCAAGUCGAACGGAAAGGCCCUGCUUUUGUGGGGUGCUCGAGUGGCGAACGGGUGAGUAACACGUGAGUAACCUGCCCUUGACUUUGGGAUAACUUCAGGAAACUGGGGCUAAUACCGGAUAGGAGCUCCUGCUGCAUGGUGGGGUUUGAAAGGUUCGGCGGUUGGGGAUGGACUCGCGGCUUAUCAGCUUGUUGGUGGGGUAGUGGCUUACCAAGGCUUUGACGGGUAGCCGGCCUGAGAGGGUGACCGGCCACAUUGGGACUGAGAUACGGCCCAGACUCCUACGGGAGGCAGCAGUGGGGAAUAUUGCACAAUGGGCGGAAGCCUGAUGCAGCAACGCCGCGUGCGGGAUGACGGCCUUCGGGUUGUAAACCGCUUUCGCCUGUGACGAAGCGUGAGUGACGGUAAUGGGUAAAGAAGCACCGGCUAACUACGUG
rnacentral:rRNA from 1 species